rnacentral:lncRNA from 1 species
AGGACCCACCUUCUACAAUAGGAAGUUUGGCGAUGGUUGAUACGAUUGUUUUUGCUUUCAUUUUUUGUGACGAGAGAUAGAUGCACACGCCUCCUUCUUUCCCUCAAGGAUUCUUAAUCCAAUAGAAGUCUAGGGAUGAGAAGUUAGUAUAGAUGGGAGUCCUAAAAUCAAAUUUUUUUUUUACAAUAUCACAUGGUUCUAUGUGUAGAUUUUUCUCUUAUUUUUUUAUUGGCAAUGGAUGAUAUGUUGGAGUGAGAUUUUUUCUUAUAUUAUGGUGAUG